CCUACGGGUGGCAGCAGUGAGGAAUAUUGGUCAAUGGGCGGGAGCCUGAACCAGCCAAGCCGCGUGAGGGAAGAAAAUGACGGUACCUGAAGAGGAAGCCCCGGCUAACUACGUGCCAGCAGCCGCGGUAAUACGUAGGGGGCAAGCGUUAUCCGGAUUUACUGGGUGUAAAGGGGGCGCAGACGGCGAUGCAAACCAGGAGUGAAAGCCCGGGGCCCAACCCCGGGACUGCUCUUGGAACUGCGUGGCUGGAGUGCAGGAGGGGCAGGCGGAAUUCCUGGUGUAGCGGUGAAAUGCGUAGAUAUCAGGAGGAACACCGGUGGCGAAGGCGGCCUGCUGGACUGCAACUGACGUUGAGGCCCGAAAGCGUGGGGAGCAAACAGGAUUAGAUACCCGUGUAGUC
rnacentral:rRNA from 1 species